GGAACCGGAGCUAAUACCGGAUAAUAUUUUGAACCGCAUGGUUCAAAAGUAAAAGACGGUCUUGCUGUCACUUAUAGAUGGAUCCGCGCUGCAUUAGCUAGUUGGUAAGGUAACGGCUUACCAAGGCAACGAUGCAUAGCCGACCUGAGAGGGUGAUCGGCCACACUGGAACUGAGACACGGUCCAG
rnacentral:rRNA from 1 species